GGAGGGCAAGUCUGGUGCCAGCAGCCGCGGUAAUUCCAGCUCCAAUAGCGUAUAUUAAAGUUGCUGCAGUUAAAAAGCUCGUAGUUGAAUUUCGGGACCGAUAUAUCGGUCGUGCCUCGGUACGUACUGGUAUUUUCGGUUUCUCCCUUCUGACGAACCUUGAUGUCAUUAAUUUGGUGUCUUGGGAAAUCAGGACUGUUACUUUGAAAAAAUUAGAGUGUUUAAAGCAGGCUCACGCUUGAAUACAUUAGCAUGGAAUAAUGAAAUAGGACGUUUGAUUCUAUUUUGUUGGUUUCUAGGAUCGACGUAAUGAUUAAUAGGGAUAGUUGGGGGCAUUAGUAUUCAAUUGUCAGAGGUGAAAUUCUUGGAUUUAUUGAAGACUAACUACUGCGAAAGCAUUUGCCAAGGAUGUUUUCAUUAAUCAAGAACGAAAGUUAGGGGAUCGAAGACGAUCAGAUACCGUCGUAGUCUUAACCAUAAACUAUGCCGACUAGGGAUCGGAUGAUGUUAAUUUUUUAAUGACUCAUUCGGCGCCUUACGGGAAACA
rnacentral:rRNA from 1 species